UUCAAUAAUUGCUGCGUUGAUAUUUUGUAUUGCUGUUGUUUCAAUAAUUGUCAUUACACAGUAUUUUCCAUUAUCAAAUCAAUAAUUCAUAUUAUUUGAAUAAUAUUAUCAGAUAACAUUAUUGGCAAUGUCUAGAAAGUUCUGUCUAAGGAGAGGUUUGGUCACCUAAUUGCGCGCCAGUAAGGAGAAAUCCUUAUUGGAAAGCCCCCUCUUUCCUGGGAACGGCCUGGUUGUCAGUACUGUGAUUCUGUAAUAUUAUUUUUAAAUAAUUAAUUAUUGAUUAUUAUGAUAAAGAAAAUAUUUAUUUUAUGUGGAUAUAGAUGGAGAAAAUUUUUAAUGUGACAAUUGUUGAAAAUUAAUAUUUUAUCUUUUUCUGAUAAAAUAAUUCAUUUAAAUAUAUUAUUUUAAUAAUAUAUUAACGGUGAUAUUUUUAUAAUGAAUGUGGGAUAUAUGAGUAUAUGAGGAGGUAGAGUAUUUUGUGGCAUUAAAUGUUUAACAUAUGUUUUGUGUGUCGGUGGACACAAUUCUUGACCGAAAAUUGAUUAUAGACUGUAAAAUCGUCCGUUUAUGGAUUUCGGUCAAUUUCUGUUUGGAAUUUGGAAAAAUUUUCUUCUGCAAAGUUGUAGAGAAUGGAAUUUCCCAUGGAAAGUCGCGAGUUUCGAAUUUUUCUGAUAAACGAGCUAUUUUCUACGAAUUAUUGAAGUUUCGGAAGAUAAAAUAAUUUUUAUUAAAUAAUGGGUGGGACCCACUCUUGUUUGAACAUGUGGGCUGCUGGAAAUUGGGUCAAGGUUGGCUGGUGGCUGAAGUGUUCAAAUGGCAUGCGUAGAAAUGUAAUUUUAAAUAAUAAUAAUUUAUUAAUUUAGUCUCCUUUGGCGUUCUAACAUUUUCCUAUAAAUAGAGGGCUAAGUUAGAAUUGAAAAUCACACCAGAAACUAAGUUUUCUCUCUUUCUCUCUCUAAAUUAUCGAGCGUAUUCUUGUGAGUAUACUUUGAGUGUUGCUAUACGGUGCGGGUUUCUGUCAGCACUAUACCGAAAUUCAGUCAGAAGUACGGUUAUUUUGAGGUAAGGGGUAUUAUUUUCUUCUUAAAUGAUAUUUUUUCUUCAAUAUCAUUAUGCCGAAGUAUUGGUGAACUUUUUUAUCAAAUUUGGAACUUGUUGUGUCGGGGUUACUAUUCACGUAUACGGCACUAUUCACGUAUACGACACUAUUCACGAAUACGGCACUAUUCACCGAAAAAUAAAAAUUUUUCUUUUUGUCCAAAAUAUCUAUUCUGGAUACUAGCUUUGAUUGUAUCCAUGUUUUGAUCAUUCUUGAAUUUUACACCAAUAUGAUUAUUUUCGAAGUAUUUUUGGACAUGGGUAAAACAAAGUACGAAUCCUUAAUCCUUAAUCCUUGUCAUUUUGUUUCACUGGAUUCGUUUCUUUAAAAAUGUUUUUCAUCAUCCUCAGUCCUAAAUGGUGAUAUAAAUGAAUAUCUUUGGCCUGUAGUGCAAAGAUGAACGAUUAACUGAUGAAUAUCUUUGGCCUGUAGUGCAAAGAUGAACAGGUGUUGAGAUGAACAUGACCAACUGGUGAUACAAAUGAAUAUCUUUGGCCUGUAGUGCAAAGAUGAUUAAAGAUGUAUAUUGAUUGUUAUUACAGGGAUAAACUAUUGAUGAUGGACUUUUAAACCUUAGAAGACAGUAGAAUUCUUUCUCUACGUGACUCUUCUAAUGGAUUGCUGUUUCCGCUGCAUUUGUUGAUCUAAAACUUGUUGUCUAUUGUAUUCUAUUAGAUUUUUCCCUGUUGAAGACUAACGAUAAUUUGUUGUAUAUUAUCUUAGUCAUAAUAUUCUUUACUGGGCUAGUUGAGCUCACCCUUUUCCUUUUUGUUCCAUUUUUCUUCUCAGGAGGUGAGAACAUAGCAGGAUCGAGUCGGGGUAUGGAGUGAUGGUUCUAGGAAGAUGUUUUAGCUGUCCUCACUAUUUCUGUAAAAUAGUGUAUGAAUAAUUAAUGAGGACUUAUUUGGGUGUGUAUAUUGUCUAGAAGACAAUAUUUGUAUUCAAACUCACAGUUGUAUUGUCGUAUUCUACACGACAUCUGUAUUGUCAAAGUUGUAGUUUGCUUUCUAUACCAUGUAUUUUGGCGACUCAGAAUGGGUGUUGUAUACCUAUUUUGGGGGCGUCACAGUUGGUAUCAGAGCUUAGGGAUAUGAUCUCUGGCGGAGAUCGGGGAAUAGAACUAGGAGGGGAGAGACGAGUAAAUCCUUCGCUAGUGUGUCCUACCUAAGCUUAUUUGUUGGUCGGUCAUAAUAUAGGAUAUUAUGUGAUAUGUUAAUUUGUUUAAUUAACCCUUGUUUUAUGGCAGUAUUUAAGAAUGGCUGCUGAGAACGUUAACAAUGGAGUUUAUGAGACCGUGGAGACGCCGGUACUCACCAACGAGGAGAACGUGCAACAGGCUGGCAAUGUUCCUCCUGUGAACAACGCCACUGAGCAAAUGAUGAACGACGGGAUGUUUAGAAGCUUUUUGCAGUUCAUGCAAAAUCAGACAAGGGAGACUCGUGUACAAAAUACGGGUGGAAAUGAUGGCAAUGCACGGUCUGUCACAGCCAAGCAGUUCAAGGAGUUGGGACCACCAGAUUUCCAUGGAAAGCCGGAUCCGAUCAAGGCAGAAACGUGGGUCAAGCAAAUUACCAAGAUAUUCGAUGUCUUGGGGUGCACGGAGGAACAGAAGGUUCCAUUCGCCACCUUUAUGUUUCGUGGUGAAGCAGAUUACUGGUGGGAAUCUGUGAAGCGUACCCAGCCAGAUGCACUUAACAUGUCUUGGGAAAGAUUUCAGAAACUGUUCAAUGACAAGUACUUUCCAGAAAGUAUUCGUCAUAUGAAGGAGGUAGAGUUUAUUAGACUCGAACAGAACAACAUGACGGUGUCUCAGUACGAGGCAAGGUUCGCAGAAUUAUCCAGGUUUGCACCUCAUUUGGUGGAGAAUGAGGAACGAAUGACGCGUAUGUUUCUGAGAGGUCUAAAACCAGAGAUUCGUCAAUACCUUAUCUCUCAUAAAUUUUCUCUGUAUUCAGAUGUUGUCAACAGGGCUCAGUUAUUAGAGCGAGAUAGUGAGUAUACUCAACCGAGGGACCACAAUCAGGGUAGUCAUCAGAACGAUGAUAACCAGCGAGGAGGAAAGAAUACGGACAAAGGCGGUAACCACUCAGGUGGUAAUCGUGGACAUGAUAAUAGGAGAGGUGACUCAAGUGGAAAUUUCAGAAAGAGAAGAUUCAACAAUGACGGGAAGAUAUCAACGGCAGCACCAGCACCAACAACAAAUGCUAGGGGAGGAGAACGACCGCCAGUUAGAUGUUACAAAUGCGGGAAGGAGGGACAUAUCAGCCCAAACUGUCCACAACAAUCCAAGGUAUGUUACAACUGUGGAAAGGAAGGCCACAUCGCUCGAGAUUGUACUAUCGCGAAACCAAGUUCAGCAGGAGUGGUGAUUCCAAGGGCUGUCCCGGAUAAGUCGAAAUCAGCGGUUCCUGGAAGAGCGUUUGUCGUGACUGGACAAAACGUGAGGAACCCAAACGAGGUGAUCACGGGUAAGCUAAUCUUGAAUUCUUGCGAAGUUUAUACCUUACUAGAUACCGGUUCUACCCAUUCUUUUAUCUCUCCUGCUUGUGCUCAACGUUUAAACUUGACUCCGGAGAAAUUAGAUUUUGAUUUAUCUGUUGAAACUCCGUUGGGUGAAACCUUCGUUACAUCUACAGUUUAUAAAUCUUGCAUGAUCCAAGUUGGCACUAUCACAUUACCUGUUGAUCUUAUCUCUUUAAAGAUACUUGCUUUUGAUGUGAUUUUAGGAAUUGAUUGGUUAACCACUCAUCAUGCCAAAAUUGAUUGUUUUCGUAAGGUUGUUAGUUUUCAUAUUCCUAACCAACCUGUCAUACGAAUUCAAACCACUAAACCACUAAAAUCAGUCACUGUCAUAUCAAGCCACAAAGCUAUUCGUUUAUUGAAAAACGGAUGUCAAGCUUUCUUAGCCCAUGUUAUGGAUUUGAAUAAAGACAAGUCAGAUUUGAAUAAUAUUUCUGUGGUUAGAGAAUUCCCUGAUGUAUUUCCUGAAGAGCUUCCCGGUCUACCCCCAGAACGUGAUGUUGAAUUCUUUAUUGACCUUGAACCGGGUACAAAGCCCAUUUCUAAAACCCCAUAUCGAAUGGCUCCUAUUGAACUUCAGGAGUUAAAAGUCCAACUACAGGAGUUAUUAGACAUCGGUUUCAUUCGUCCUAGUACGUCUCCUUGGGGUGCUCCUGUUUUAUUCGUAAAGAAGAAAGACGGGAGUAUGCGACUUUGUAUUGACUAUCGAGAAUUGAACCAUGUCACCAUCAAGAAUAGGUAUCCGCUACCUCGCAUUGAUGACCUGUUCGACCAGUUACAAGGAGCGCAAUUCUUUUCAAAGAUCGAUCUUCGUUCUGGAUAUCAUCAGCUGAAGAUUAAAACUGAGGAUAUUCCAAAGACGGCAUUCAGGACUCGAUACGGGCAUUAUGAAUUCUUGGUCAUGUCUUUUGGAUUGACUAAUGCUCCUGCUGCUUUCAUGGAUAUGAUGAACCGUGUAUUUAAGGAAUAUUUGGAUCAGUUCGUUGUUGUCUUUAUUGAUGACAUCCUCAUCUAUUCCAAAAGCCGUGAAGAUCAUGAGCACCAUUUGAAGCUGGUACUACAAAGACUUCGUGAACACAAGCUUUAUGCCAAGCUGAAGAAAUGCGAGUUCUGGCUUGAGGAAGUAGCAUUCCUUGGGCACGUGGUGUCAAAACAAGGAGUAUCUGUUGACCCGGCGAAGAUUGAAGCAAUACAAAGUUGGGAGCAACCGAAGUCGGUGACCGAAGUACGCAGCUUUCUGGGCUUAGCUGGUUAUUAUCGGAGAUUUGUGGAAGGAUUUUCUCGAAUCGCUACUCCGUUAACUCAGCUGACUCGGAAGGAUGCAAAAUUCUUAUGGAGCGAGGAAUGCGAGAAGAGCUUCCAAGAGCUCAAGAGGAGACUCAUUUCGGCACCUGUUCUGACAAUACCAUCUGGUUCAGAUGGAUUUGUUAUCUACAGCGAUGCUUCUGGCAAGGGGUUAGGAUGUGUUCUCAUGCAACAUGGGAAAGUCAUAGCCUAUGCCUCACGACAACUCAAAGAAUAUGAGAGGAAUUAUCCUACUCAUGAUCUGGAGUUGGCAGCAGUCGUGUUUGCGUUGAAGAUAUGGAGACACUACUUGUACGGGGAGAAAGUAGAGAUUUAUACGGAUCAUAAAAGCCUCAAAUAUUUCUUCACCCAAAAAGAACUCAACAUGCGGCAACGACGUUGGCUGGAGCUGUUAAAAGAUUACGAUCACACUAUUCAAUAUCAUCCUGGAAAAGCGAACGUAGUAGCUGACGCAUUAAGUAGAAGAUCAUAUGCAAGUACGAGUGCGAUAUUGUCAACGCAAAGGCCCAUUUUGUAUGACUUGCAAAGGAUGGAGGUAGAAUUAAAGACUCCAGGGACCCACAUAAUGAUGGCGAAUAUACAAGUAGAACCGACUUUAAUCGAUAAAGUUAAAGCUGCUCAAGCUACGGACCUGGGGCUGAUGCGUAUGAAGAAGAAAGUGCAAGAAGGAGCUAUUCCGGAAGCAAGAAUUGAUGAGGAAGGAAUACUUCGAGUCAAUUCUAGACUUUGCGUUCCUAACGAUUCUGACCUGAAGCAUAAAAUCAUGAUGGAGGCACACAACACCCCGUUUGCAAUCCAUCCUGGGAGUACCAAAAUGUAUCAUGAUAUUCGACAUACAUUUUGGUGGAACAAUAUGAAGAGAGAGAUUGCGGAGUUUAUCUCAAGAUGUUUAACCUGUCAACGUGUAAAGGCGGAGCAUCAAGUGCCAAAAGGUCCAUUGCAACCACUUGAGAUUCCGGAAUGGAAAUGGGAACACAUUACUAUGGAUUUUGUUACAGGUCUUCCCAAAGUUUCUCAAGGCGUAGAUGCAAUUUGGGUUAUUGUUGAUAGAUUAACCAAGUCUGCCCAUUUCUUACCGAUACGCGAGACUUAUCCCCUUGAACGUCUUGCUCGUAUGUACGUGAAUGAGAUUGUACGAUUGCAUGGCAUGCCAGUAUCCAUAGUUUCGGAUCGUGACCCGAGAUUCACUUCAAGAUUUUGGGUUAGCUUGCAGAAAGCUAUGGGCACGGAUUUACGAUUCAGUUCAGCAUACCAUCCUCAAACGGACGGACAAUCAGAGAGGACUAUUCAAACCCUUGAAGAUCUAUUAAGACUCUGUGUCCUAGAUUUCAAAGGAAGUUGGGAUAAGUACCUACCACUGGUGGAAUUCUCCUACAACAACAGUUAUCAAGCAAGUAUAGGCAUGGCUCCAUUUGAGGCGUUGUAUGGACGAAAAUGUCGUUCUCCAGUAUGCUGGGACGAGGUGGGAGAAGCAACAUUGUUGGGACCAGAAUUAGUACGCAUGACUACAGAAAAGAUCCAAAUGAUUCGACAACGUAUUCAAACUUCACAAGAUCGACAAAAGAGUUAUGCUGAUCUUCAUAGAAAGGACGUGGAGUUUAAUAUUGGAGAUCAUGUAUUGUUACGUAUUGCUCCAUGGAAAGGAGUUACAAGAUUUGGGAAAAGAGGAAAGCUCAAUCCAAGGUUUGUUGGUCCAUUUGAGAUUCUUGACCGAAUAGGAAACGUAGCCUAUAGACUCGCGUUACCUCCAAGUAUGUCUCGUGUUCACAAUGUAUUCCACAUAUCUAUGCUUCGUAAAUAUGUGAAAGACCCGAACCACAUUAUUGCAUUAGAACCAGACGAGAUAGCUGAAGAUUUAACCUACGAGGAGAUACCUGUUGAGAUUUUGGAUAGGAAAGAGCAUGUCUUACGCACGAAGGUUAUACCACAAGUUAAGGUUUUGUGGAGAAACCAUGCAAUUGAGGAAAUGACAUGGGAGUUGGAAUCGGAGAUGAAAGCGAGGUACCCUCACCUUUUCGAUAUACCAGGUACGUACGUCAAUUUCGAGGACGAAAUUUCAUAAGGAGGGGAGGUUGUAAGACCCCAACUUAUUAUAAAUAAAAUUGAAUUUUCCUUUAUUCAUUAUUCUAAAUUAAUAAGGGUUAAUUUGAUAUAAUUCUUUGGUUAUGGGUGAAAUGUGCAAAGUUUACAAAAUAAGCAAGUGGUUAUAAAAUAUUCAUUAUUGUCGGGGAAUAUUCGUUUGGUCGUGGAAUAUUCUUUUUGUCGGGAAUCUCCGUACGACGGCGCAGUCAUGGGUGGGCCCCAUAAUGGAAAACGGUUAGAUGAAGGAAAACGACAAAGAUUGAGUUUUAUAAAUAACGACGUAAAUUGUUACCGUUAACACUGUUGGGUUACCUGGUGGUUAAAAUACAGUAAUACGCGUGGUUGCACAGCAGCACACGGUCUUGCACAGUAUUAUUGAAUUAUUGAUCCUUACGUAAGAAGGCACUACUCAAUAAUUGUUACAGUAGUUACUGUUCAAUAUUAUAUUUUAUUGAUUCAAUAAUUACUGCGUUGAUAUUUUGUAUUGCUGUUGUUUCAAUAAUUGUCAUUACACAGUAUUUUUCAUUAUCAAAUCAAUAAUUCAUAUUAUUUGAAUAAUAUUAUCAGAUAACAUUAUUGGCAAUGUCUAGAAAGUUCUGUCUAAGGAGAGGUUUGGUCACCUAAUUGCGCGCCAGUAAGGAGAAAUCCUUAUUGGAAAGCUCCCUUUUUCCUGGGAACGACCUGGUUGUCAGUACUGUGAUUCUGUAAUAUUAUUUUUAAAUAAGUAAUUAUUGAUUAUUAUGAUAAACAAAAUAUUU
rnacentral:lncRNA from 1 species